ensembl:misc_RNA Metazoa_SRP Metazoan signal recognition particle RNA
GUCGUAUGCAGUGGAGGACGCCUGUAGACCCAGCUACUCAGGAGGCUGAGACAGGAGGAUCGUUGGCAUCCAGGAGUUGUGGAGUGUAGUGUUCUAUGCCCAUCUGGUGUUCUCACUAAGUUUGGAAUCAAUAUGGUAACCUCCCAGAAGCAAGGAGUCACCAGGUUGCCAAAGGAGGAGUGAACUAGCCCAGGUCGGAAGCAGAACAGGUCAGAAUUCUGUGUUGAUCAGUAGUGGGAUUAUGCCUGUGAAUAGCCACUGCUGUACAGGCCCAUUGCCCUAUGCAUCUGGGUCUCAU